rnacentral:misc_RNA from 1 species
AAGCAGGAGACCAAGAACAGCGGCACCUGAAGUAAAAAAAAUGUAUGAUGGAACACCAAAGUCAUUGGCCACAUCAAUCAUCGUUGUGCAAAACAUAUCUAUAACAAAACCUGCUAGUCGAGGUGCCGGUGAGUCGGCGAUUAACUUUGACUGGGUGAUCUUCAACACAGCUUCUUUAACAUGGGGUUUCUGUAUCUCAAUAGAAGAAGUGAAAUUAAACAAUUCAGUCUCUUCUUCAGGUAGAACAAUGAAUUGGAGACGAUUAGAUAUGGUGGAAGAGGAAGCUUCAAACGAUUCAAUGUAGUUAUGAACCUGGUUGGAGUUGACAAAAGAGAGGUUGAGGAUAAGGACCGUGACGGAGAGUCGGUGAUCGCGGGUCAGAAGUAGCUUUGCAACCUCAACUGAGGAUACAAUAUGGCCCAUAACAGGCAAGGGAAUGAACACCAGCUGUGCUUUCUCCAUUUUACAAAAGACACUGUAUUGUUUUGCUGCCGAAGUGCAGAAGAUAAGAAUGGGUUUGUGGCAUUAUGUGUAGC